UCCCUGGUAGUAUAUCGGUUAGUACACGCGCCUGUCAUCAGGAAGAGCAACUCCCGCGCGAAAGCUGGGUUCGACUCCCAGCCAGGGAG